GUGAGUCAUCGAAUCUUUGAACGCACAUUGCGCCCCCUGGCAUUCCGGGGGGCACACCUGUUCGAGCGCCAUUUCGACCCUCAAGCAUGGCUUGGUGUUGGGCGCGGUCUUUACCGACCUGCCCGUAACUCGUAGGCGGCCGCCGCCCGCGCCCCCAGCGUAGCAAGCUUACGCGUUCGCUCGGGGACGGUGCGCGCCCGGCCACAACACACUUCAAGGUUUGGCCUCGGAUCAGGUGGGGAUACCCGCUGAACUUAAGCAUAUCAAUAAGCGGAGGA
rnacentral:misc_RNA from 1 species